GGACGAAAAUGUCAAAUGUAUUUAUUCAUAAAACAAAACAAACAAAUUCGAUAGCAACUAAUAUUUUAUUUUACCAGUUCUUCAUACCUAUAUAGGUUUGUUUUUUAAUCGUUUGUGCUAAAACAAGAUGAGAAAUCGAUGCCAUGACCGCAAAGCGCAAACCAUCCGAAACCAUAUUUUGCUCUCGGUACAGCCUUCGCUGUGAAUAUUCUAAAACGGAUGGACACAAGGGUGGACAACGGAAGUGCGAAGUGGCUGUGAUGUGUUUGCUGGCCAAAUGAAAUACCCAUUAUGCUUGCCAAGUUUGAGAAAAGGAAAAAAUACCCAACGCGCCUAUAGGCACCAGAGUGCUUGACGCAUAUCGGUAUGAAACUAAAUGGAAUCUUUCUGUCUGAUUAAGUAAUAAAAUUCUUGAACAAAAACGGAUGCAAAAUGGAUUUGGAACGGAUGAAUGGUCCACGGUAAAUAUGGAUAAUUUUACAGCUGCAAAUGUAAUCCAGACCAGGCGAUUUUUACCAGUUUCGAUGUAUUCCGUUCUGGUGAUCAUCGAAGGAACAAAGCAUUACGUGACAUUUGAAGGCAACCACAGAAAAACGAAGCCAAAUUUGUUAUCGUUGAUGCGAUGGGUCCUGGUCAACCAGAAAAGAGGUCAAGCGAAAUAUAGCUAAAGAGCCCCGCACAUAGCAUACGUUUGCGUUGCGUUUGACAGUUUUCCCAUGGGAAAUGUGUCAAACGCAACGCAAACGUAUCCUAUGUGCGGGGGUCUUAAGAAGAAGAAGCUAUCGACGAACGAGUGUAUGUAGAUUUAUAAUAUUGAAGUUGUAGGUAUUAUUUGUUAUAGCUGAGUGAGCGGAAUACAUAAAAUGUCUGUGAUGAAUCAAUUCUGGGAAUCAAUAAAUAUGCUUUUGUCUUACUCGUACGUCAAGUGUGUGUAAAGCCUAUACAUAACCACUU